AUACGAAGGGGGCUAGCGUUGUUCGGAAUCACUGGGCGUAAAGCGCACGUAGGUGGAUCAAUCAGUUGAGGGUGAAAUCCCGGGGCUCAACCUCGGAACUGCCUUCAAUACUGUUGGUCUAGAGUCCGAGAGAGGUGAGUGGAAUUCCUAGUGUAGAGGUGAAAUUCGUAGAUAUUAGGAAGAACACCAGUGGCGAAGGCGGCUCACUGGCUCGGUACUGACGCUGAGGUGCGAAAGCGUGGGGAGCAAACAGGAUUAGAAACCCUAGUAGUCC
rnacentral:rRNA from 1 species